CCCAGGCUUUUAUUUUGUUACACUCCACCUUGUUUUAUAAGUCCCUUAUAAAUCUGGUUUUUUUGCUGGACUCUUCGUUCCUGGAUGGCAGGGCCAGCUUUUACCCUUGUUUACAUCUUUCACAGGGCUGUGCCCAGAAAGGCACUCAAUAAAUAUUUGUUGAACUGAAUUCUAUUUUCAACAUAUUGGACGAGUGUGGCAAAUAUUACAUGGAGUAAUUAAACUCAACUGAGGUUUCUGUAAAUUUAAAUUUUAGUUGAAUCCUCAGCCUCUUUGACUUAUAAGUGACUCGGGACACUAUGAUUCUGUGUAGAACCUGUGAAAUAUCUAACUAACUGGAGAAGACUUCCUACCUUGAAAGAAAGAAAAAUAUCAAAUCAUGGUAUCUGACUCCCACUUGGAAAUCUAGAGGACAAGAGAUGAGCCAACGAAUCUUUUCCACGGGGAUGUGAAGGAAGUGGGCUGUGCUGAGAUGAGGCAGCAGGCCCAGAGUCCUGGAACAAAGAAUAUGUGAGUGUGGGUCUAGGACCUGGAGGAGGCCACGCAUGAGAAGCCAGCACAGAGCUGAGCGGGCAGAGAGCUGUUGUAAGUCCUGUAAGAGGGGUGUCUAGAUGAUGACUCACACCUUGGUGGACGCUGACGCUUCUGGUGGAUGCACAGGGUCUGAAGGAUGAGUAAGUGAUCACCCUAAGCAGGGCAGCAUUUGCCCUUCUCAAGGGGAAGUGUGGUUGAAAGACUUUCAUUGAUUUGAGGGGUGGGGGUAGAGAUGAGGGUUUUCUAAGAGCCCAUGAGAGGGCCCGUGGUAGAAUGACCUGGCUUUGCCCACCUGCCAAGUCCAGAGAGGGGGAGCUGGAUCACCAGGGGAUUGUCGAGUGAAUGAGGACUUUCCUGCGCCUUUUUCUCACUCCCUUCCAUCAUGCCCUGUUUGGAAGGGAUUCAGAACCCCAAAGUUAGCCAAAUGAGGACAGAGGAACAGAGGAACAGAAAUCCUGCAAGAAAAGAGUGGAGAAGCCAGCCUUACACUCCUUCCCUAAUAACAGGGAGGGCUUUGAUAUGGGACGUCUUCAUGAUUCCAAUGUGACAGUGUUUGGUGACAUAAAGUAAAAGUCUUCAUUAUCUAAAUGUAACAGAAGAUUUCACGGAGGCUGCCAAUCACUGUAAAGAGAAGAGCUUGCCCCAGUGAAUCAAUUUAAAGGGACAGUGAGGGUCAAAAAUAAAGAUGCUCGACAAUUACCUCAACUGUCACAACUGACAUUCAGCAGAAACAACAGAUACACCCAAAGUAUGCUGACCCAACCCAGGCAGGAGCCUGAGUCGCAGCUCAACAGAGCUUCAAGAGGUCCGGUGACCCCCAUGCUUCCCAGAGAAGCCCGGAGCCCACUCUAGGUCACCCACAAGCAUGUUUAACUCCAUGGUUUUCCUGUGGCAGUUUACCCCAUGCAACCUGCAGCCUCACAGACUCAGCAGUCUCUCCCAGUCCCAAGCUCAGGGCCUGACGAAGCAGGAUGCUCACACUGCAGCCUGGCCCAAGCUCAAGAAGCAGGACUGAAGCCACCCACUGCUGGGUUCCCAAUCCCUCGUCAUGCCGGCACCUGCAGUCGUCUUCUGCCACGUUUCCUGCUUUGCUCCUGCAGCGCAACUGCUAGUACUACUCACAGGUCCCUCAACACAAGAUGUAUUUCCUGCUAGACUCCAUUCUCCACAAAGCCCAGAACUUGGCAGUCUUUUUUGCUCCUGUGUCCCCAGUACACAUCGCACAGCCUGGGAGACAGCACCAACUUCCUCUAUUGGUCAGACUUGGCGUGACGUGGAAGAAGCCUGGAACGGGGCAGAGGAACAUCUCCAGAGAGGCUAACCUCCUGAGUUCCACUCCCCUGCAGUCAUACCCCACACUAACUUCUGUGAAGUGGUCACUGCUUCGGAGAACUUUUGUCCUUCCUUAAAGAGAUAGUAUCCAGGACCGAACACAAACCUAGAUCCUCCAGUCCUCAGUCCAGUGACUGCUUUUGUGUAACUGGGAACGACUUGUCCUCAUGCACCUUAGUGUGGAGAGUCCUCCCCACUGCUCAGCAUUGCCUGCUGUGGAACAUUGACCAUGCAGCUCGUUACACAGAAAUUAUUGAACUGCUUGCCUGUCUCCCCUGCAGGCUGUAAGUCCAUCGAGGGCAGAAAUCAUGUUCUAUUUGAUGUUGUAUCGCCAAAGCCCAGCAGGCUGUGUAUGCGUAGAAUUAGUGAGUGUUUGAUAACAUUUUUAAUUACUGCAUAAUUAAAUGAGUAAACCGCUAAGUAAAUGAUGGAG
rnacentral:lncRNA from 1 species